GCCUCCUUAGCUCAGUGGUAGAGCGCGUCACUAGUACGCUUGUACGCCUCCGGUCCCUCCCGGAUCGCCAUGACGAGGUCAGUCGUUCAAAUCGGCUAGGAGGCA
rnacentral:tRNA from 2 species